AUUGAACGCUGGCGGCAGACCUAACACAUGCAAGUCGAGCGAGCGGCGGACGGGUGAGUAAUGUAUGGGGCUCUGCCCGAUAGAGGGGGAUAACUACUGGCACCUGUGGCUAAUACCGCAUACUCACGGAUCACCCCAUAUGGGAUUAGCUAGUAGGUGGGGUAAAGGCUCACCUAGGCGACGAUCUCUAGCUGGUCUGAUAGGAUGAUCAGCAACACUGGGACUGAGACACGGCCCAGAAUCCUACGGGAGGCAGAAGUGGGGAAUAUUGCACAAUGGGCGCAAGCCUGAUGCAGCCAUGCCGCGGGUAUGAAGAAGGCCUUAGGGUUGUAAAGUACUUUCAGCGGGGAGGCGUUACCGGCAGAAGAAGCAACGGCUAACUCCGUGCCAGCAGCCGCGGUAAUAC
rnacentral:rRNA from 1 species